CCUACGGGAGGCAGCAGUGAGGAAUUUUCCGCAAUGGGCGAAAGCCUGACGGAGCAAUACCGCGUGAGGGAUGAAGGAUUUUGGUCUGUAAACCUCUUUUCUCAAGAAAGAAGUUCUGACGGUACUUGAGGAAUAAGCAUCGGCUAACUCCGUGCCAGCAGCCGCGGUAAUACGGGGGAUGCAAGCGUUAUCCGGAAUGAUUGGGCGUAAAGCGCCUGUAGGUUGUUUAUUAAGUCCGUUGUUAAAGCCUAGGGCUUAACCCUAGAAAAGCAAUGGAAACUAGUAGACUAGAGUAUGGCAGGGGUAGAGGGAAUUUCUAGUGUAGCGGUGAAAUGCGUAGAUAUUAGAAAGAACACCGGUGGCGAAAGCGCUCUACUGGACCAUUACUGACACUCAGAGGCGAAAGCUAGGGUAGCAAAAGGGAUUAGAUACCCCUGUAGUCCUAGCCGUAAACGAUGGAUACUAGAUGUUGUGCAUUAUGUACAGUAUCGUAGCUAACGCGUUAAGUAUCCCGCCUGGGGAGUACGCUCGCAAGGGUGAAACUCAAAUAGAUAGACGCGUGAGAGUGCGACGACGACGACGAGGGAGUAG
rnacentral:rRNA from 1 species